GGUUAAGCGACUAAGCGUACACGGUGGAUGCCCUGGCAGUCAGAGGCGAUGAAGGACGUGCUAAUCUGCGAUAAGCGUCGGUGAGGUGAUAUGAACCGUUAUAACCGGCGAUUUCCGAAUGGGGAAACCCAGUGUGUUUCGACACACUAUCAUUAACUGAAUCCAUAGGUUAAUGAGGCGAACCGGGGGAACUGAAACAUCUAAGUACCCCGAGGAAAAGAAAUCAACCGAGAUUCCCCCAGUAGCGGCGAGCGAACGGGGAGGAGCCCAGAGCCUGAAUCAGUGUGUGUGUUAGUGGAAGCGUCUGGAAAGGCGUGCGAUACAGGGUGACAGCCCCGUACACAAAAAUGCACAUAUUGUGAGCUCGAUGAGUAGGGCGGGACACGUGGUAUCCUGUCUGAAUAUGGGGGGACCAUCCUCCAAGGCUAAAUACUCCUGACUGACCGAUAGUGAACCAGUACCGUGAGGGAAAGGCGAAAAGAACCCCGGCGAGGGGAGUGAAAAAGAACCUGAAACCGUGUACGUACAAGCAGUGGGAGCCUCUUAAUGGGGUGACUGCGUACCUUUUGUAUAAUGGGUCAGCGACUUAUAUUCUGUAGCAAGGUUAACCGAAUAGGGGAGCCGAAGGGAAACCGAGUCUUAACUGGGCGUUAAGUUGCAGGGUAUAGACCCGAAACCCGGUGAUCUAGCCAUGGGCAGGUUGAAGGUUGGGUAACACUAACUGGAGGACCGAACCGACUAAUGUUGAAAAAUUAGCGGAUGACUUGUGGCUGGGGGUGAAAGGCCAAUCAAACCGGGAGAUAGCUGGUUCUCCCCGAAAGCUAUUUAGGUAGCGCCUCGUGAAUUCAUCUCCGGGGGUAGAGCACUGUUUCGGCAAGGGGGUCAUCCCGACUUACCAACCCGAUGCAAACUGCGAAUACCGGAGAAUGUUAUCACGGGAGACACACGGCGGGUGCUAACGUCCGUCGUGAAGAGGGAAACAACCCAGACCGCCAGCUAAGGUCCCAAAGUCAUGGUUAAGUGGGAAACGAUGUGGGAAGGCCCAGACAGCCAGGAUGUUGGCUUAGAAGCAGCCAUCAUUUAAAGAAAGCGUAAUAGCUCACUGGUCGAGUCGGCCUGCGCGGAAGAUGUAACGGGGCUAAACCAUGCACCGAAGCUGCGGCAGCGACACUAUGUGUUGUUGGGUAGGGGAGCGUUCUGUAAGCCUGUGAAGGUGGCCUGUGAGGGUUGCUGGAGGUAUCAGAAGUGCGAAUGCUGACAUAAGUAACGAUAAAGCGGGUGAAAAGCCCGCUCGCCGGAAGACCAAGGGUUCCUGUCCAACGUUAAUCGGGGCAGGGUGAGUCGACCCCUAAGGCGAGGCCGAAAGGCGUAGUCGAUGGGAAACAGGUUAAUAUUCCUGUACUUGGUGUUACUGCGAAGGGGGGACGGAGAAGGCUAUGUUGGCCGGGCGACGGUUGUCCCGGUUUAAGCGUGUAGGCUGGUUUUCCAGGCAAAUCCGGAAAACCAAGGCUGAGGCGUGAUGACGAGGCACUACGGUGCUGAAGUGACAAAUGCCCUGCUUCCAGGAAAAGCCUCUAAGCAUCAGGUAACAUCAAAUCGUACCCCAAACCGACACAGGUGGUCAGGUAGAGAAUACCAAGGCGCUUGAGAGAACUCGGGUGAAGGAACUAGGCAAAAUGGUGCCGUAACUUCGGGAGAAGGCACGCUGAUAUGUAGGUGAAGCGACUUGCUCGUGGAGCUGAAAUCAGUCGAAGAUACCAGCUGGCUGCAACUGUUUAUUAAAAACACAGCACUGUGCAAACACGAAAGUGGACGUAUACGGUGUGACGCCUGCCCGGUGCCGGAAGGUUAAUUGAUGGGGUUAGCGGUAACGCGAAGCUCUUGAUCGAAGCCCCGGUAAACGGCGGCCGUAACUAUAACGGUCCUAAGGUAGCGAAAUUCCUUGUCGGGUAAGUUCCGACCUGCACGAAUGGCGUAAUGAUGGCCAGGCUGUCUCCACCCGAGACUCAGUGAAAUUGAACUCGCUGUGAAGAUGCAGUGUACCCGCGGCAAGACGGAAAGACCCCGUGAACCUUUACUAUAGCUUGACACUGAACAUUGAGCCUUGAUGUGUAGGAUAGGUGGGAGGCUUUGAAGUGUGGACGCCAGUCUGCAUGGAGCCGACCUUGAAAUACCACCCUUUAAUGUUUGAUGUUCUAACGUUGGCCCGUAAUCCGGGUUGCGGACAGUGUCUGGUGGGUAGUUUGACUGGGGCGGUCUCCUCCUAAAGAGUAACGGAGGAGCACGAAGGUUGGCUAAUCCUGGUCGGACAUCAGGAGGUUAGUGCAAUGGCAUAAGCCAGCUUGACUGCGAGCGUGACGGCGCGAGCAGGUGCGAAAGCAGGUCAUAGUGAUCCGGUGGUUCUGAAUGGAAGGGCCAUCGCUCAACGGAUAAAAGGUACUCCGGGGAUAACAGGCUGAUACCGCCCAAGAGUUCAUAUCGACGGCGGUGUUUGGCACCUCGAUGUCGGCUCAUCACAUCCUGGGGCUGAAGUAGGUCCCAAGGGUAUGGCUGUUCGCCAUUUAAAGUGGUACGCGAGCUGGGUUUAGAACGUCGUGAGACAGUUCGGUCCCUAUCUGCCGUGGGCGCUGGAGAACUGAGGGGGGCUGCUCCUAGUACGAGAGGACCGGAGUGGACGCAUCACUGGUGUUCGGGUUGUCAUGCCAAUGGCACUGCCCGGUAGCUAAAUGCGGAAGAGAUAAGUGCUGAAAGCAUCUAAGCACGAAACUUGCCCCGAGAUGAGUUCUCCCUGACUCCUUGAGAGUCCUGAAGGAACGUUGAAGACGACGACGUUGAUAGGCCGGGUGUGUAAGCGCAGCGAUGCGUUGAGCUAACCGGUACUAAUGAACCGUGAGGCUUAACCUU
rnacentral:rRNA from 5 species